rnacentral:tRNA from 1 species
GGUUGUUUGGACGAGUGGUUAAGAUGUGCGGGUGCUAAUGAAGGCGAGAGUUCAAAUCUCACAAUAAACA